CCUACGGGCGGCAGCAGUAGGGAAUAUUGAUCAAUGGGGGAAACCCUGAAGCAGCAACGCCGCGUGGAGGAUGUAGGUUUUAGGAUUGUAAAAUCCUUUUGUGAGAGAAGAUAAUGACGGUAUCUCACGAAUAAGCACCGGCUAACUCCGGGCCAGCAGCCGCGGUAAUCCGGAGGUUGCAAGCGUUACUCGGAAUAACUGGUCGUUAAGCGUGCGCAGGCGGGCUUGUAAGUCAGAUGUGAAAUCCUGUAGCUGAACUACAGAACUGCAUUUGAAACUAUGAGUCUAGAGUGUGUGAGAGGUAGGUGGAAGUCUUGGUGUAGGGGUAACAUCCGUAGAUAUCAAGAGGAAUACUCAGUGCGAAGGCGACCUACUGGAACAUUACUGACGCUCAUGCACGAAAGCGUGGGGAGCAAACAGGAUUAGAUACCCGGGUAGUC
rnacentral:rRNA from 1 species